UUCCACACUGUGGAAGCUUUGUUCUUUCGCUCUUAGCAAUAAAUCUUGCUACUGCUCACUCUUUGGGUCCAUGCUACUUUUAUGAGCUGUAACACUCACCGCGAAGAUCUGCAGCUUCACUCCUGAGCCCAGCGAGACCACGAGCCCACGGGGAGGAAUGAACAAGUCCAGACGCGCUGCCUUAAGAGCUGUAACACUCACCGCGAAAGUCUGCAGCUUCACUCCUGAGCCAGCGAGACCACGAACCCACCAGAAGGAAGCAACUCCGAACACAUCUGAACAUCAGAAGGGACAGACUCCAGACGCGCCACCUUAAGAGCUGUAACACUCACCGCGAGGGUCUGCGGCUUCAUUCUUGAAGUCAGUGAGAGCAAGAACCCACCAAUUCCAGACACAAUAGUAUCCACAGUGUGUAAAACAGUGAAGGCAUAUGGUAAGAGCAUAAUAUAUAUUGUAUACUUCAUACUCAAUGAAUGAGAUUUGUAAGUCUGCACUUCUUUGCCUUGCUAUUUCAUGCAAGAAGCAAUAUGAAAAAGAAAGCCUAAAAAGAAGUUUGUUCUGCAUAAGACUUUUGCCACCUUUUCAACAACCAUGCAAAAAAUGGAUGGCAGGCCCUGUAGAACUGAUCUUUUUAAGGCGCACUUACAACUGAAAGGUCAGCCUUCAUUAUGUUUCCAGCAUAUCUGUGUACUUAAUAAGAGAACAGUUAGCUACAAGAGCAACAACUAAGAAAAAAAUGUCCACAGUGAAACUUAAUCCCCGAGGUGUUACUGUCUCUCCAUGCCUGCAUGUGGAUCUCACCAUUCCUCUAGUCCUGGUGCUUGCUUUCAACACAGAGCUCUGGACUGCAAGGCAUUUGAUUUCUGGUAAUUAAUCAGCUCCUCAUACACGCUAUGUUUCUCCCCCAGGCCCAGCUCAAGUGAGUGAUCCAAAUCUGGCUUCAGGAAAAAAGAAAGUGUUUAUGCUCUGAGUGCACAGAAUGAAACACUGAUAAACAGUUCUUGGUAAAACAUUGAAUCACAUGGCAUUAUUUUUCUUUUCAAGUCAUAAGUCAUUGUGAAAAAAUACACGUAGCAAAAAAACCAAAACCAAAACAAAAGCCAAACAAAAACACGUUGGAUGCCCUUUAAACAGAAAGCAUUUUGUCCUGCUAGAAAGAGUUAUCAGGAUUUGCUGGUAUUUGUGUAUCUGGUGCCUUUUAAAGUGUUUGCCUAGAAUGUGAAUGUUCAUUUUUUAAACAUCUUUUUGUUUGACUCUUUAUCCACAGUACUUUAUCUUAUGGUUUCUUGUUUGUCUUGUCUCUGUAAUAACUCAGAUACUACUAAUUUUAUCAGUUGUGAAAAAUCUGAACUUACAUUAGUAGUUAUUCAUGCCUAGAGACCUGGCAACUUCCAUUCCUUUCAAUUACUUACCUGUCUGCCUCAACAGCCAUUUGUAAAGUCAGGUUUUGUUGUUAGGACUGAGAAUAGUCUCAUAUAUUUGUCUUGCAGGUAAUUCUGAGCCCCCUUUUUUAUAUAAAUAAUGUAGCCCUAUAAUGGGUUCCCUUUUCUUGCCAAUUAUUCUGCUCAAAACUGAGAUUAAUCCAUCAAUUAGUUGUCAAAAGCAUUUCUGAGUUGGCAGUGUUUGAUUUAUAGAAGCUACACAUGAAAGUUAAGCAGUGGGAAAUAUGGUGUAUCCAAAUUAUAAUAAACUUUAAUGAUUUUGAAGACAGUGUGAAUUUCAAGUAAUGCCAGCCCACAUAAUUUUCUCCAAGUCUGGUAAUAUUACUCAUUGUUAUGAUGCAAUAAUCCUAUCUUAAAGAAUUAUUUCCUCUAGACAUCUGACUUAUAGUCUUUAACAAUGGUAGGUUACUUUAGAGGUUCUCAGGAGAUUUUGUUUCCUGGAGACAUUUAGCAAUUUGGGAGACAUUUUUGAUUAUUAUAACUAGAGAGGAGAGAUACGUCUGACAACUAGUGGGUAGAGGUCAGGAAUAUGUCUGAACAUCCUACAAUGCACAGGAAAAUGCCCAUAACAAAGAAUCAUGUAAUCCAAAAUGUCCCUAGGGCUGGUUGAUGAAUCCUGGGCUACAUACAUUAAUACAUUAAUGUACAGAUUAAACACAUUUCAAAAAGAGAAUACAUCUGUGUAAGUAACAGCAAGAUCAAGAAAAACAAGAUGAUCAAUACCUUGGAAGCCCCCCACCUCCCAAUCUCCUCUCCACCCACUAUCCCCACAAGGUAACCGUGAUCCUCAUUUCUUAGGGCAUCUAAAUGGAAUCACAAAGUAAGUUGCAUAUAUGUUACACGUAAUUUGUAUAGACACUUCUCUCUUUCCAUUUGAAUCCUAACUUUUAUUGAAUCCUACAAGUUGGAGAUACGACUUAUCUGACUCAUGGAAAAUUGAAGAACUUUGAGUCUACAGUGCAUUUUAUGAAGAUUGUUGUCUAUCCUUGAAAGCACCGUUUUUCUUGAUCUUGCUGUUACUUAAUUGUUAUUUCAUCCUUCUCAGACCUCCUGUUGCCAGGUGAUGGAAAGACACCUAGCCUCUGUUCAGGGUCAGAGGCUUUGUCAUGAUGGGAAAAGGAGACCUGAAUUCAUAUAAGAAAGCAGCUAGGGGCUGGUCAAAUAAAGCAAAGAAGCAUUCCCUAAGCUUUUGUUUGUUUUACUUCAAACAAACUCACACACAAAGAGAGAGCCCUUGAAGCCACAAGUAAAUGAUGCAGACUCUUAGCCAAAUGGGGAAAAGUGCCUUAUAUGUCAUGUACCCCUGUGCUGUUUCUAAUUUUUCCUGCUCCUUAGUUCUAAGCAUACCAUACACAUAAGUAAAAUAAACCAUAUUGGGCUAGAGCUUAAGUUAAAUAUCAAAACCACUGCAUGCUGACCGUGAAAACUCACUCAUGCUGAACAUUUGUGGGUUAUCAGGAUCAAAGAAAACUUCGAUAUUUAUCAAAAAAUUUAGCCCACCGUGGUUUAGCCUUCAUUAACCUGGUAUGCAUUUGAAGAAUUCAAUAGAGUUAAUGCAGGCCAAGCCUGAACUAAAUUUUUUCGACUUAGGAAAACACUUAUCCUCCUAAAAAGAUAGAUAUCAGUUUUUAAAUAUUGGAAAAGGGCAGAAUAACAUAAGGUUCACACAUGGUUGUCUGAAUGCGAUCAGCUCACUAUAGGACCGAGUUAUGCUUUGUACAUGAAGAGACAUGAGAACAAACUUGUCUUUUAUAUAAUGCCCCUAAUACAGAUUUGAGGUACUAUGGGAAUUCAUACUGAGUCUAGACAGCAAAAUUUUUCUAGUUUAGAUCUAAAAUGAGAAAUUUAAAUGAGAACAAGCCUCGUUGCAAAAUCAUGGAUUGUCGCAGGCACCCGAAUAAGCAAAGAAGAUUCCUCCAACAAAAUUUCACUUACACAUUUGUCCCCUACAGAGGAGUCCAGAUGAUGAAGUGAUCUCUCCUGAAUUAGAGACAGGAGAUGUUUACUUUUUUAAAAAAGUGCCUACUCAUUUGUGGUAUCAUUCCUUUGCUGCAUAAAAAGUGGUUAGAUCUAUCAUUUUAUUUAAAAAUUCCAAUAUUAUGAUCACUGGUGUGUUUAUUGCCACUUACUAUUCGUAUAUAUUUCUUGCAUGAAAGCAGGGAUAUUGCAUUCUUUGCACCUGUUGGGGAAUGACAAUGCUGUGGGUGACAGUGAAGGGUGGGGUAGGAGCAAAAAGAAAAAUAAAUCAUUUGCAUCAAAAGGCUAAAGAAAUUUUUCCAGAAGCUCUUGGUAAUAAGGAAAAUGCUCUGAAUAAGAGAACAGUAGCCAGAGACAGAGGAAGAAACUUGCAAAUUUAAAUCAGGGGUCUAAAAUAUUUUCAGGCAAAUACUUAUCAUAGCACCUGUUAUUACAUGAUUUUAACUAUGCCAUCUUCUUUUAUAUAAAGAAGUAAAAUGUAAUGAAAAUUCUAAGAAAGAGAUUGCUUAGGAAAAAUCACUUGCUUUUUUAGACUUUGCUUCUUUUAUUACAUUCAUUAUUUGUGCAACAAAAAUAGAGAUUUGCCAUUUCCCCCAUAGAUAUAGUUAUAAUUCUGUGCUGCAUUCUUUCAAGGUCAGUUUCCUCUUCCAUGCUUCUAAAAAGCAAUUUUUUUGGUAAUAGAGUCACCCAUGCAUAAAAAGUAUACAAUACUAUAGUUAUUUCAAAAUAAAACUUAAUUUCUGUAAGUAUAGAAUAAAUGCUCAAAUCAAAACUUAAAGUUAGACAAAUUGUCCUUGUGUUUUUUCUGUUUGUCUAGUGUAAGGCAUUCCUUGUAAGCUACAGUGCACAUAGCUGC
rnacentral:lncRNA from 10 species